rnacentral:lncRNA from 1 species
GGCCGCGGCGCUACCUUUCUCCAAACAACGUUGCCACACGCGGAGAGCACGGAGAUUUCUGGGGCUUUGGAGGGAAUCGUGAGCGGGCGGGAGGAGGCCGGGGACCACACAGAGAAUAACUUGUCUGACUACCAGUAUUCUUGGAUGCAGAAGUGCUGAAGAUGAGCACACACACGUACGGAGAAUUUCUGGAGAAUUCAGCUGCUCAGAACAAGAACUGAGAUCCAGAGAGAUGAUGACUUUGCCCAUAGACCAAACAAAGAAAUACAUGUUUCAGUCCUGUGUCCUCCUGCUAUGUGUGUCCGGAAUUGGUGGGUUCUUGGUCUCACUGACUUCAAGAAUGAAGCUGCGGACCCUCGCGGACCGUGUGUGAAUGCCUGCUCUGUGAGCCCUCAGAAUCUACUGGCUGAAUGAGUGCGUGGAGGAAAUGUGCUCAGAGCUGCUGUGUGUCAUCCUGUGUUUGAAGUGCUCCUGCAGCUAUCAUUCAUCCAGUUAAGAAUUUGAAGAAGUGUGUGCACAAAGCUCACAGGAUAUCGGCCAUGUUAAUGAGUCUGAUGUUGCUAGUAUCACAGGCACCGGAAAAUAUGCACAUUAUGCUGGAGCAUUAGAAUGCAACAGAAAGAGCCCUGGGCUUGGAGUAUGCAGAACUGGUUCUUGUUACAACUCCUCUUACUAGUGGGCUCUGGAAGAAAACACAUUGAAUUCAUGAUCAUGGUUAACCUUUGGAGAGAGAGAGGAGACCAGGAUGAAGGAGCCAGUCGAAGAUCCUGUUCAAGUGUACACUGAGCCAGCAGGUUCACCAGAAAGCUAUUGAGCGUUUGCUGGAACACAUUAUGCAGGGUGAAUUUCUUCUGGAAUGUUGCCAAGGAUUUUUUAUGCUUCUGUGGCAGGCAUUUCUUGAACAUUGUCAUUUAGCCAAGCAAAGAAGAUUUUCUUAAAGGAUAGAAAAUGUUUAAAAAUUUUUGUUUGUUUGAAGAUAGGUUAAAUGGCUAUAUGAUCUCAGGAUAAGACAGAGAAAAUCACUUAUUUCUCUAAGUGAUCUGAUUAGGUUAGUGAUGUUUUGCCUUUAAACAGAUUCAUCAUUAUUCCUAAAGUAUUGCUGUAUUAAUACUGUCUUCUAGAAAGUAUCCACCAGUGCCUACUUUUCUUCGAUAUCAUUAGCUGUUUUUCGAAACUGAAUUUGCUCUUCAGAGAUUUCUCAUAUGUUUGCGUAUAAGGAACUACUGGUAAUAGCCAAGAAAAUUUGGAGGUGCAGAGAACAUGCUGAAACAGAAUUUUUCACUUUCAAUUCUAGAACUAUGCCAUAAAAAAAAAGGAAAAUGUAAAAAUGUCUUUAUAUUAGAGCAGAUAUUUUAAAAGUAUUGCAAAUUCAAUGAUAAAUUCUAAGGUUAAAAUUGGACACAUAAAAAAUACAAUAUAUAAAUAUCUCCCCAGAAAUUAUUAUCUAAUGAAUAGUAAAAGCUGACUACAAACCAUGUCAUUUUAACAAGGGUUUAAAUAGUACCAAGAUUCUCAUCAUAUGCUCUGGGAUACCCAGUGAUGUACAAGGGUUCUCUCUAAACAUGGGGAGGAAAAAUUUCAAAUAUAAAGAUUUGAAUCUUGUCUUUGCCAUUCACUAGCUGUGUGAUCUUGGGUAAGUUACCUGGUUUCUCUGAGCUUCAGUGUCAUCUGUAAAACAGGAAUAAUAAUACCUAGCUCAGAGGCGGGUGUGGUGGCUCACGCCUGUAAUCCCAGCACUUUGGGAGGCCAAGGCAGGUGGAUCACUAGGUCAGGAGUUUGAGACCAGCCUGGCCAAGAUGGUGAAAUCCUGUCUCUACUUAAAAAAAAAAAAAAAUAGCCAGGCAUGGUGGCAGGCACCUGUGAUCCCAGCUACUCAGGAGGCUGAGGCAGGAGAAUCGCUUGAACCCGGGAGGCGGAGGUUGCAGUCAGCUGAGAUCUCGCCACUGCACUCCAGCCUGGGCAAUAGAGUGAGACUCCGCCUCA